rnacentral:tRNA from 1 species
GGGUGGGUCAGCUCAGUGGUUAGAGCUUAGGGCUUGGAACCGGAAGGUCCCGGAAUCGAAUCUUGCCAGAGGCA